rnacentral:rRNA from 1 species
UACCGAGGUCUCAAGCGUUGUUCGGAUUCAUUGGGCGUAAAGGGUGUGUAGGUGGCGCCGUAAGUCGGGUGUGAAAUUUCGGAGCUUAACUCCGAAACUGCAUUCGAUACUGCGGUGCUUGAGGACUGGAGAGGAGACUGGAAUUUACGGUGUAGCAGUGAAAUGCGUAGAUAUCGUAAGGAAGACCAGUGGCGAAGGCGGCUCACUGGCCCGGUACUGACGCUGAGGUGCGAAAGCGUGGGGAGCAAACAGG